AAAAUAUAAAGAUUUAGGUAUUUAUUAAAAUCUUCCAGUGUCACUCCAGACUCCUGCAUUCCCACUGUCCACUGUACUGGUCAGCACAGAUCCUCUCCCGGUCUAUCCUCUGGCAGUGCAGCUGUGGUCCAGCCCUGCUGUCAGUGUCCAGUCCUGUGGGCAGUGCUGGGAGUCCUCUCUGUGCUGCUGCUCUGCAGUGUGGCUGCUGCUGUGAGGGGGAGAGGGGGGAGAUCCCAGCUCCAGCAGCACCCUGAGACUCGGGUGCGAAAGGAGAGCGGAGAGGCUGUGGGGGCUGAAGGACACUAUCAGGAGCUCUCUCACAGGGACACUGCAGUGUAUGAGCUCUGUGGGACUCAGCAUCAGCACAGGACACAGUAGAGCAGAGCUGCCACUCUGGAGCUACACAGCAGGAGGACACAGCUGGAGGACUCAUCUUUUAUGAGAUGACUGGAGUGUUUUUAACAGUGGACAUUAAACACCCAGUUAUCAACCAUGACACUUUCUCCUCUCAUCUGUGACUCUCAAACCUCUGUAUCUGUGCUUUUCUCAAGACAGCCUUUAGUGUAGACAGGAGAAGUGAUCCAAACUGUAUGUAGACCCUGUUUCAGGGACUGGAUUGAAUUUGUGUUUCAGAUUUCAUAAGGUCAUGGUCAAAGUGUUCCAAUAAAAUCUGAUCAAAUACUUGUGUAUCUGCAACAUUUUCUGCUUCACUUAAU
ensembl:lincRNA